rnacentral:lncRNA from 1 species
AGCAGUAGGCUAGUUGAGUCUCAAUCCGGAUAGCUGUAAGUCCACCAGUUUAUAACUAUGCCCCAUGUCAGUACCACUCAAACCUGCCUGCAUAUCAGAAUACCUUAGAAAUCUCUAAUUUUUUCAUUUAUCUUUUCAUGAUUUAUAACAUUCGCUAGUUAUUUUUAUUUUUGUUUUAUUUUAUUUUUAGAGACGGGACUCGCUAUGUUGCCCAGGCUGGAGUGCAGUGGCUAUUCACAGGUGCGAUUGAUCCCACUACUGAUCAGCACUGGAGUUUUGACCUGCUCCGUUUCCAACCUGGGCCGGUUCACCCCUCCUUAGGCAACCUGGUGGUUCCCUGCUCCCAGGAGGUCACCAUAUUGAUGCCGAACUUAGUGCGGAGACCCGAUCGGCAUAGCGCACUACAGCCCAGAACUCCUGGGCUCAAGCGAUCCUCCCACCUCAGCCUCCCGAGAGGUGGAGGUUGCAGUGAGCCAAGAUCAAUCUAUUGCACUCUAGCACGGGGAAAAAGAGCAAAACUCCUUCUCAAAAGGAACAAACAAACAAACAAAAACAAACUAAAUGCCAGGGUCCUAGGAAAUGUGAAGAUGCACUGCUGAUGGGAUCAAAAAAUGGGCAUAGUGCUUUUGAAGGGAAAUUUGGCAGUAUGUAUUAAAAUUGAAAAUGUCCAUACUAAAUGACUCAGUAACCUUUUUUGAAUGUCUAUCUAGAGAAACCUGCCUGAGCACAAGGAAGUCCCUAUGGCAAUGUUCACUGCAGCCAUGUAAUAGUGAAAAAUUAAGACCACUUUAAAUAUCCAUCAAGGAGAGGAGACUUGAUUAAGAAUGCCUCCUUCUCCAGUGAUGGAAUUCCCUGCAGUAGUUAAAAAGAAGGAAGUUGGCCGGGUGAGGUGGCUCACGCCUGUAAUCCCAGCACUUUGGGAGGCCGAGGUGGGUGGAUCAUGAGGUCAAGAAAUUGAGACCAUCCUGGCCAACACAGUGACACCCCAUCUCUACUAAAAAUAUAAAUUUUUUAAAUAAUUUUUUAAAUUAUAAAAAAUUUAAUUUUUUAUAUGCUGGGCAUGGUGGCAUGUGUGCCUGUAGUCCUAGCUACUUGGGAGGCUGAGACAGGAGAAUCACUUGAACCUGGGAGGCAGAGGUUGC